AGGGAAUAACAAUGGUUGAAACAUCCUGGAUAUGUUGGAUCAUAUUGAAAGAAGUUCGGAGGUCACUGGAACACACUCAAGUAGUUUGUGUAUAUUUUAAUAGAGGAGAUAGCUAGGAAUGGAAAUUCUUGCUUCCUUGGGUUUAAUUAUGAGAUAUAGUUGGUAGAUGUUCAUAUCAAUUUUAGUGUAUUCACAAUUAUGAUUUAAUCUUCUAGGCUUUUGCCUUAAUAGGUUGUAUAUG
rnacentral:misc_RNA from 1 species